rnacentral:lncRNA from 1 species
UGGAUUCUGCUCCUGGCUCUGCCACCAACUCGAUUCUUGCAAGGAUCCCUGGUUCCCCCACCACUCUGUCGGAUGGGAACUCGGGCUCUGGCCCCACUUAUGCCACCUUCUGGUGCAGUCCUGGGGAGCCGCCAGGGUCAGGGUGUCUGGGCGCCCUGUGGCCAGACUGUGGUGUCUUCCUGACAAUUGCAGGGCUUCAGAGUGUGUGUGGGUGGAUCCUGAGCCCUGAGGCCUGCCGUCUCACCCCCGGGGCUGCCCCGAUCCUUUGAGUCACUCUCUCAGCGUCCUGUCACCUUUGUCCUAGGGUUUUAUUCUUCUUGUCACCUCUCACUCCCAUCUCCUAGAAAAUGGGCUUCCCACCGAAUGAUUUUAGCCCCCUGCCAGGGCUAAGCAAGCUCUUUGGGCAGGUCCGUGGGCUAAGUAAUUAUCUUCAUCCUUCUUGAUUUUUUUUUCUCUUUCUUUUCUUUACGUUUUGAAACAGAUUCACUCUGGGGGGAGAACAGAAUUUGGAAUAGCGCUUCUGAGUACAAGUCCCCGGGGUCGGCCGCCUACUCUCUGGGCAUCAUCUUCCCCGUCUGUGAAACGGGUUAGUGAUAAGGCCUGCCCUGCCUCCCUCAUGAGAAGGUUGUGAAGAGUAAAUGAGGGAUGGGUGUGAAAUGUAAGCUCUGUGCAAACUUUAUUUGUUUAUUUUUUUUAAAUUUUUUUUUAAUGUUUAUUUAUUUUUGAAGGAGAGAGAGACAGAGUGUGAGUGGGGGAGGGGCAGAGAGAGAGGGAGACACAGAAUCGGAAGCAGGCUCCGGGCUCUGAGCUGUCAGCACAGAGCCCGAUGCGGGGCUCGAACCCACGAACUGUGAGAUCAUGACCUGAGCUGAAGUCAGACGCUCAACCAACUGAGCCACCCAGGCGCCCCUCUGUGCAAACUUUAAAAUGCUGGCCGAACCUGGUGAUGCAGUCAAAUCAUCAGGAUUUGUUUUUGAAGCCCGAAAACUACCAUCACCACCGUCCAUUCUGCGGGAAGCAACAAAAAGCUACGCCUCUUUUGUGGUCCGCCCCGUGCCGCUGUGUUCCAGACCAGCUUCUCUCUCCCUGCCCCCGUCUGUGACUGGCCUCGGGGUCCUCAAGGAAGUCCCUCCGUCUGGAAGAAAGCCCCAGAGAGAAGGGGAAGGCAGUUGGCAGGACAGAGGGUUUGGCUCUUGACGCCUCUAGUUCUUGGCUGGGAGUGGGGGUGAGGCAAGAGGAGUCCCU